rnacentral:rRNA from 1 species
UACGUAGGGUGCAAGCGUUAAUCGGAAUUACUGGGCGUAAAGCGUGCGCAGGCGGUUGUGUAAGACAGGUGUGAAAUCCCAGGGCUUAACCUUGGAACUGCAUUUGUGACUGCAUAGCUAGAGUACGGUAGAGGGGGAUGGAAUUCCGCGUGUAGCAGUGAAAUGCGUAGAUAUGCGGAGGAACACCGAUGGCGAAGGCAAUCCCCUGGACCUGUACUGACGCUCAUGCACGAAAGCGUGGGGAGCAAACAGG